rnacentral:rRNA from 1 species
AUUGAACGCUGGCGGCAGGCUUAACACAUGCAAGUCGAGCGGGGAAGGGUAGCUUGCUACCUGACCUAGCGGCGGACGGGUGAGUAAUGCUUAGGAAUCUGCCUAUUAGUGGGGGACAACAUUCCGAAAGGAAUGCUAAUACCGCAUACGCCCUACGGGGGAAAGCAGGGGAUCUUCGGACCUUGCGCUAAUAGAUGAGCCUAAGUCAGAUUAGCUAGUUGGUGGGGUAAAGGCCUACCAAGGCGACGAUCUGUAGCGGGUCUGAGAGGAUGAUCCGCCACAUUGGGACUGAGACACGGCCCAGACUCCUACGGGAGGCAGCAGUGGGGAAUAUUGGACAAUGGGCGAAAGCCUGAUCCAGCCAUGCCGCGUGUGUGAAGAAGGCCUUUUGGUUGUAAAGCACUUUAAGCGAGGAGGAGGCUGCCGAGAUUAAUACUCUUGGAUAGUGGACGUUACUCGCAGAAUAAGCACCGGCUAACUCUGUGCCAGCAGCCGCGGUAAUACAGAGGGUGCGAGCGUUAAUCGGAUUUACUGGGCGUAAAGCGUGCGUAGGCGGCUUUUUAAGUCGGAUGUGAAAUCCCUGAGCUUAACUUANGAAUUGCAUUCGAUACUGGGAAGCUAGAG